GAGGCUAACACACCUCACCAAGGCCAGGCACUGCAGCAACAUGGCGUCUAGAAAGUACGAGAUCAACAAACCUCUCCCCGACAGCGGGCCCGACAACCCCCCGACUCCGGCACAACCGCCCGCCGACUCCACGGAGGUGACUUGUGAAGAAGUCGGGAAGAUCGUCCAGAUCACUCUGGUCACGCUUGGGAUGUUGGCGAUAGCAACGUACUUCGUUCUAAUCAAGAUCAUCCAGUAGGUUCACAGCCCUCCGGAUGAAUUUCCAACAAUUCUUCCUUGUCGUCACCUUCUGCUAUGGUCACAACGGCAUCUUGCGACUUUCAUCUGAAACUCAACAUCUACGCCACCAAUUGCAAAACAACUAAGUGAACUGCGGUGUCGUCAAGGACCUCAAGAUGAUGGGAAUUUACUAAGAGGGAAAAAAGAGAACUGGUGACGGGUUGAUGUAAAAUAUCAAGGACUGCAGUUUUAUAUUGAAUGAUGUGCAAAGAAGAGGGGAAAAUAGUGUAUUUAUAUUCAAUAGUCUACAUUAGUCAUAUUUUUUAAGGAUUAUAGAAAACUGAAUCCUGUCAGAUUUAGAUGAGAAAGAAAGGGCAAUAUAACUUGAGGUAAAAUUCAUUUGUAUAAGUCUUUGCAUCUUGUAUACUCCAAAAGUUUUAUGAAAUCAGGCGUUUAUAUUCCGUCCAAAAUGCAACAGUUUAUUUAGUGUAUGCCCUUUUCCCGGGGAAAGUUUGUAAUAUUUAGAUAGAAUGAUGUCAUUCAUAAAUUACCUUUUUUUGCGCCUAGAAGACCAUGUUUCAUUUGUACUGUAUAGCGGAUAUGUUUUACUUGUGAUAAAAACUCCUGAAUAUUUCAUGGUUGCCAUGGUGCUUGGUUGCCAUGGUGCUUGUUUGCCAUGGUGCUUGGUUGCCAUGGUGCUGAUGUGCCAUCCAAUGAUAUCAGUAGUUUUGUGGUUACAAUCCAGCUUACAGAUAAAAAAAAUCCAAACUUUGAAACAAGCGACGUAGAAAACCAUGAAUGUCUUUGUACGAUCUUGAUAACGGUCCAGUACUUAGUUGUUAAAAGUUGUCGUAAAUGAUUGCGACACGUCUCUAUGUGUAUGCAUGGCACAUUUUGAUAUUCAGAGGUUAUGCAUGCAAGAAAUACAAUAAAAGGAAUGCACCGCAAAAAA